GAUGAACGCUGGCGGCGUGCCUAAUACAUGCAAGUCGAGCGAACAGACGAGGAGCUUGCUCCUCUGACGUUAGCGGCGGACGGGUGAGUAACACGUGGAUAACCUACCUAUAAGACUGGGAUAACUUCGGGAAACCGGAGCUAAUACCGGAUAAUAUAUUGAACCGCAUGGUUCAAUAGUGAAAGACGGUUUUGCUGUCACUUAUAGAUGGAUCCGCGCCGCAUUAGCUAGUUGGUAAGGUAACGGCUUACCAAGGCAACGAUGCGUAGCCGACCUGAGAGGGUGAUCGGCCACACUGGAACUGAGACACGGUCCAGACUCCUACGGGAGGCAGCAGUAGGGAAUCUUCCGCAAUGGGCGAAAGCUUGACCGAGCAACGCCGCGUGAGUGAUGAAGGUCUUCGGAUCGUAAAACUCUGUUAUUAGGGAAGAACAAAUGUGUAAGUAACUAUGCACGUCUUGACGGUACCUAAGCAGAAAGCCACGGCUAACUACGU
rnacentral:rRNA from 1 species